AAAAAAAAAGCUGUGAAUAUAAACUCGCUGCUUCUAGGUCUCGUCAUCACUAAAAAUGUAAAAGACACCAAUUCAAUUAUUCUCUUUGAAGCAUCCAUAUAACAAAACAUUUGUUGUCUAUCAACUCAUAUCUAGCAAAAGCAUGUAUAUGAUCCCAACCAUUGUUACAUCUACCAAUCAGAAAGAUCCAAGAAGUUAAGAGAACUCCAAGAAGUUAAGAGAACUCAAGUAUUGGCAGGAAAGGAAUCAGAGUCAUCCAAGUUAGUUGAAAUUAGUUAGCCGAGCUGGCAACAGUUGAUUGGUGAACAAAAAGUUAGUUUUUACUGUCGAAAUUGCAAACUUAAUUUAUUAGCUGGUUAGCUGAAGCAAUUAUUAGCAAUCAUAUAAGGAUUUUGGGGAUGUAAUUCUCAACCAUUCAAGAAUUCAACGUUUCUUUGUGAACUUUCUAUGCUCUUCUCCCCUUUUCCAUUAUUUUCCCUCCCUUUCUCUUUCCUUCACUCUUUCUUAU
rnacentral:misc_RNA from 1 species